rnacentral:rRNA from 1 species
UUUAAAUGGCCGCAGUAUACUAACUGUGCAAAGGUAGCAUAAUCAUUAGUCUUUUAAUUGAAGGCUGGUAUGAAUGGUUGGACGAGAUAUUAACUGUUUCAUAAAAAUUUAUAAUAGAAUUUUAUUUUUUAGUCAAAAAGCUAAAAUAUAUUUAAAAGACGAGAAGACCCUAUAAAUCUUUAUAUUUAGGUUAUUAUAAUUUUAUAGAUUUUUUUUGUUAUAAUAAUUGAUAAUAUUUUAUUGGGGUGAUAUUAAAAUUUGAUAAACUUUUAAUUGUUUAAAUCAUUAAUUUAUGAAUAAUUGAUCCGUUAUUAGUGAUUAAAAAAAUAAGUUACUUUAGGGAUAACAGCGUAAUUUUUUUGGAGAGUUCAUAUCGAUAAAAAAGAUUGCGACCUCGAUGUUGGAUUAAGGUAUAAUUUUAGGUGUAGCCGCUUAAAUUUUAAGUCUG